UCUGCAACUCCUGGGCUCAAGCAGUCUGCCCACUUCACCCUCCCAAAGUGCUGGGAUUUCAGGCUAGAGCCACCAUGCCCAGCCCACAAGAUCUAAACGCUACUGUUGAAGCAAAAAGACUUGAAGACAGAAUUUGCCCUCCUAAUAUAAGCCCAUGGUAACCUGAACCUCCUUCACCCUAACUCUCAUCACAGUGUAUUGUGAUUGCUUAUUGAAGAUGAAAUUUGAUUUUCCUUUUUGAUGUUACUUCUCCAGCACAGUACCUGGUAUGUGGAAGGCACUCAAACUAGGGCCAACCUGGUGCCAGCUAACCUGGGACUAGUGCAAGCUCCUGAAAUUCACCUGGUCAAGGGACACAUGUUCACAGGAUCUCCUGGGGUUGUGUCACCAAAAAAAAAAAAAAAAAAAUUUCACCUGGUGUCUCUAGUCACCAUGAUUUUCUCUAAAAUGCCACACAGAAUUCUAUGUAUGGAAUUUUUUUCUUUUCUUUUUUCUUUUUCUUUUUUUUUUUUUUUUGAGACAGUCUGUCGCCAGUCUGGAGUGCAGUGGCGUGAUCUCGGCUCACUGCAGUCUCCUCCUCCCGGGUUCAAGCGGUUCUCCUGCCUCAGCCUCC
rnacentral:lncRNA from 1 species